CCCUUAGACGUUCUGGGCCGCACGCGCGCUACACUGACCAUUGCAACAAGCAUCCGUCCUUGGCCGACAGGCCCGGGCAAUCUUUGAACGCUGGUCGUGAUGGGGAUAGACUUUUGCAAUUUUUGGUCUUCAACGAGGAAUUCCUAGUAAACGCAAGUCAUCAACUUGCAUUGAUUACGUCCCUGCCCUUUGUACACACCGCCCGUCGCACCUACCGAUUGAAUGGUCCGGUGAAGCCUCCGGAUUGGCGCGCACCUCGGUGCCGCCGAGAAGUUGGCUAAACCUUACCAUUUAGAGGAAGGUGAAGUCGUAACA
rnacentral:rRNA from 1 species